rnacentral:rRNA from 1 species
CCUACGGGAGGCAGCAGUGAGGAAUAUUGGUCAAUGGGCGCGAGCCUGAACCAGCCAAGUAGCGUGAAGGAUGACUGCCCUACGGGUUGUAAACUUCUUUUAUAAAGGAAUAAAGUGAGGAACGUGUGCGUUUUUGUAUGUACUUUAUGGAUAAGGAUCGGCUAACUCCGUGCCAGGAGCCUCUGUAAUAAGGAAGAUCAGAACGUUAUCCGGAUUUAUUGGGUUUAAAGGGCUCGUAGAUGGAGUUUUAAGUUCGUUGUGAAAGUUUCCGGCUCAAACGUCGAAUUGCAGUUGAAACUGGCAUUCUUGAGUGCGGUAGAGGUAGGCGGAAUGCGUGGUGUAGCGGUGAAAUGCUUAGAUAUCACGAAGAACUCCGAUUGCGAAGGCAGCUCACUGGAGUGCAACUGACGCUGAUGCUCGAAAGUGUGGGUAUCAAACAGGAUUAGAUACCCUUGUAGUC